rnacentral:tRNA from 1 species
GGUCCGUUGGUCAAGGGGUUAAGACACCGCCUUUUCACGGCGGGGNNGGGUUCGAAUCCCGUACGGACUA